AUUGAACGCUGGCGGAAUGCUUUACACAUGCAAGUCGAACGGCAGCACGGGGCAACCUGGUGGCGAGUGGCGAACGGGUGAGUAAUAUAUCGGAACGUGCCCAAUCGUGGGGGAUAACGUAGCGAAAGUUACGCUAAUACCGCAUACGAUCUACGGAUGAAAGCGGGGGAUCGCAAGACCUCGCGCGAAUGGAGCGGCCGAUGUCAGAUUAGGUAGUUGGUGGGGUAAAGGCUCACCAAGCCAAUGAUCUGUAGCUGGUCUGAGAGGACGACCAGCCACACUGGAACUGAGACACGGUCCAGACUCCUACGGGAGGCAGCAGUGGGGAAUUUUGGACAAUGGGCGAAAGCCUGAUCCAGCCAUUCCGCGUGCAGGAUGAAGGCCCUCGGGUUGUAAACUGCUUUUGUACAGAACGAAAGAGCUCUGGCUAAUACCUGGAGUCCAUGACGGUACUGUAAGAAUAAGCACCGGCUAACUACGUG
rnacentral:rRNA from 1 species